GAUAAACGCUAGCGGCAGGCUUAACACAUGCAAGUCGGGGGGCAGCAUAGAUUGUAGCAAUACAAUUGGUGGCGACCGGCGCACGGGUGCGUAACGCGUAUGCAACCUACCCGUCACAGGGGGAUAAUCCGGAGAAAUCUGGUCUAAUACCCCAUAACAUAUGGAUCGGCAUCGGUUCAUGUUGAAAUUUUCGGGGGUGACGGAAGGGCAUGCGUAGCAUUAGCUUGUUGGUGAGGUAACGGCUCACCAAGGCGACGAUGCUUAGGGGGACUGAGAGGUUUUCCCCCCACACUGGUACUGAGACACGGACCAGACUCCUACGGGAGGCAGCAGUGAGGAAUAUUGGUCAAUGGGCGCAAGCCUGAACCAGCCAUGCCGCGUGCAGGAUGACGGCUCUAUGAGUUGUAAACUGCUUUUGUACGAGGGUAAAGUGGGUUACGUGUAACCUUUUGAAAGUAUCGUACGAAUAAGGAUCGGCUAACUCCGUGCCAGCCGCCGCCGUAA
rnacentral:rRNA from 1 species